rnacentral:rRNA from 1 species
UCAUUGGGUUUAAAGGGUCCGUAGGCGGGCUAUUAAGUCAGGGGUGAAAGUUUGCCGCUCAACGGUAAAAUUGCCUUUGAUACUGAUAGUCUUGAAUUAUUAGGAAGUGGUUAGAAUAUGUAGUGUAGCGGUGAAAUGCAUAGAUAUUACAUAGAAUACCGAUUGCGAAGGCAGAUCACUACUAAUAUAUUGACGCUGAUGGACGAAAGCGUGGGGAGCGAACAGGAUUAGAUACCCUGGUAGUCCACGCCGUAAACGAUGGAUACUAGCUGUUCGGAUUUCGGUCUGAGUGGCUAAGCGAAAGUGAUAAGUAUCCCACCUGGGGAGUACGUUCGCAAGAAUGAAACUCAAAGGAAUUGACGGGGGCCCGCACAAGCGGUGGAGCAUGUGGUUUAAUUCGAUGAUACGCGAGGAACCUUACCAAGGCUUAAAUGUAGAUUGACAGGUUUAGAGACAGACUUUUCUUCGGACAAUUUACAAGGUGCUGCAUGGUUGUCGUCAGCUCGUGCCGUGAGGUGUCAGGUUAAGUCCUAUAACGAGCGCAACCCCUGUGGUUAGUUACCAGCAUGUAAUGAUGGGGACUCUAGCCAGACUGCCGGUGCAAACCGUGAGGAAGGUGGGGAUGACGUCAAAUCAUCACGGCCCUUACGUCUUGGGCCACACACGUGCUACAAUGGUAGGGACAGAGAGCAGCCACUGGGUGACCAGGCGCGAAUCUUCAAACCCUAUCUCAGUUCGGAUCGUAGUCUGCAACUCGACUACGUGAAGCUGGAAUCGCUAGUAAUCGGAUAUCAGCCAUGAUCCGGUGAAUACGUUCCCGGGCCUUGUACACACCGCCCGUCAAGCCAUGGAAGCUGGGGGUACCUGAAGUCGGUGACCGUAAGGAGCUGCCUAGGGUAAAACUAGUAACUGGGGCUAAGUCGUA